GUCUUUUUUUGUUAUUUAGUUCUGUCAGCAGACAUUAUUGUAUGUAUUGUCUUUUCUUCUUUGUAUAUGUCAUGAAAUGUGUUAAUAUUGUCUGACUAGAUGUUGUUUUGGACCCCAGGAAGACUAGCUGGUUCACAAAACCAGGCUAA